rnacentral:rRNA from 1 species
UUGGGAAUCUUGCACAAUGGGGGAAACCCUGAUGCAGCGACGCCGCGUGGAGGAUGACGGAUUUAGGUCUGUAAACUCCUUUUGCAGGGAAAGACUUAGGACGGUACCCUGAGAAUAAGGACCGGCUAACUACGUGCCAGCAGCCGCGGUAAGACGUAGGGUCCGAGCGUUGUCCGGAUUUACUGGGCGUAAAGAGCGCGUAGGCGGUCCGUUAAGUGUGAAGUGAAAUCUCCAGAGCUCAACUCGGAAACUGCUUCGCAUACUGGCGGACUUGAGGAAUGCAGAGGUGAAUAGAAUUCCUGGUGUAGCGGUGAAAUGCGUAGAUAUCAGGAGGAAUACCCAUGGCGAAGGCAGUUCACUGGGCAUUAUCUGACGCUGAGGCGCGAAAGCGUGGGGAGCGAAACAGGAUUAGAUACCCUGGUAGUCCACGCCCUAAACGAUGGAUGCUAGGCGUAAGAGGUAUCGACCCUCUGUGCCGCAGCUAACG